AUAGUUGGGAAAUAUCCUGCAAAUGCCAAAUAAAGAUAUCUAAUACGUCACUUUCAGGGAGCCAAUCGGAGAUGCAGAUACUUAUGCAUUAUGGUGAAGCUGUAAUUAAGAUGGCGACGGUCCUGCAUCUCGAAACCCCUGUGUUUUUAAGCGGUGCCAAGUCAGAAGAAGGAGAACAAUUAGGUAUUUUAGUGGCAGAGGAAACUUACAGUGAUGUUUUUUUUAAUUGGAUUUCUCUAAAAAGCCCUUACAAAAGUUAUUUGCAUAGUUUUAUACCGUCGCCUACUGAAGUUAUCUACGGCUACAGAUACCCCAAACAAUGACAUAAAUGAAUUGAAGAAAUAUAAGAAAAGACUAGGAUAAGGCAUAAAAAGAUCGCGCGACAAUAAAUAGGAUUUGCCUUUUAAAGAGGCUGUACCGCUCCCACAGCUGUACAUGACUUUUAACUUAAUAUGAUUAACUUCACUAUGAUUAAUAGUAAUAAUACGUAACCCAGGGAUCAUUAUUUGCUUUUCAAAAUGAAUUACUGAACCAAUCGUGAUUUGAACCUGUGACCCAUUGCACAGAAGAAAGUCGCUGCUCUACCAACUCAGCUAAACGAGUAAUCCACAAGCACAUGGUUAAGUAUUGACAAGAGGCAGACAACACUCCUGAUCAGGCUCCAGAUGAUAAUAAUAUUGUUUCAAUACCAUCCUCUUCUGUGCUGGAAACUCAGGUCUAUGAUUUGGAUGUUGGCAUCAUGAGAUCGCUGAUAUCCCAAUCAGCUGGACCACUGACUUCUCUAUCUAUAUAUAAAUGGUACAGAAGAAGAAUGUAUAGAAACUGGCCACCAUGAUCAAAUAGAGCCUCAGGAAACAGGGGAAGGGGACAAGGUAGUGCAGGAGACCGAUGAAGAACAAGGGGGAGUAAUAGUUCAGGAGACAGGACAGGAGAAAGGGCAAGAGCCGGAGGGGGAAACACACGUUAGAUAUGAAGAUCAUUCGAUACAGGUGAAAAGAGAAAGAAUACACUCAAUUUUCAUGGAAGAGAUUACAUUAGAAGAAAAAUGUUUAAAAGUGAGGUGUUUGAUUACGUUGUGGUUUGAUUUGUGGGGUUUGGCAGAAGUUAUUUGGGAUUACAUUCCUGUUUUUCCAGACACCCUGUCAAAUACUUGGAGGCCCAACACCUUAAUAGAUACCAACAAAAAGUGUAAAGACUUUAUACCACUUUCCAUAGGGGAACGUACAGCUUACCAGUCCACAGCAAAUGGAAAUUGCAUUUAUAAUGCAGUGUCCAUUAUCCUCUAUGGAAAUGAAGAUAUGGCUGUGGUACUGAAGCUGGCUUCAGUGCUGAAAAUGGUGGACGAUAUAGUACCAUUUUCAAAAUAUAAGAAUUUAAAGAGAAAACUAUCUGUGGGUUAAAUCUACCCUGCUGCAGGUAAAUGCAGCCUCAACAGCAGAGGAGGUAGAGUAUGGAUGCCGAAAAGAGCUGGUCUCGACUAUUCAACAUCCAUACAGGGAAGGAACUGUUUUCCAUCUACAUCUAUUGUCCCAUUUGAUGUCACGUCCAAUACAACAGCACUGCAAAAAAAUACCAGCAGUACCUGCAACUGAUCCUGCCACCGCUGACACCCCCAGCUAGACCAUCAUUUUCACACUUGGUUUGGGUGCCUGCCAAUCCAAGAAAUGCUUUUGCAUCUAUCAACCAUGUGGUUCCAGCUGUUUGCUCAUUGGGACCUUAUGGAAGCAGUAUUGAGGAUUGUGUGUUCCUUGGCCUUGGGUUGUGCUGUUUUAUGGUCAGCCACCACAAGGAUAUAACCCCAGGCUGGGUGGAAUGUACCCUUUGUGGACAGUGGGUUCAUGACACAUGCAUGGGUGUCACUGCAGCAGCCUUUAGCUUGCAGGAUGAUUUCCCAUGUGAAUGUGAUUGCCUGCAAAAUGGAGAUUUAAAACUGAAAAGCAUUGAAUACUACACAACUUUGCAGGUUAAAGACCUGGAUAUGGAUUUCAAUAUGAUAGUCGACAAAGUGGCACAAAUGCACAGCCUGAGAAAAGAGUUUUCCAGGGAAGCAAAUGGAAAACUCAAAUGGGCUUUGAGAAGUGGUCGGUUUGGUCCAUUUACAGACGAGUUUGUUGACACUGAAUACCAGUUUGAUCACAAAUGUUGGAGUAGAAAAGCUCCACCUUAUACCGGAUUUAUAUAUGCCUGAGGUUUGAUACAAGUUCUAUGUGAAAAAGAAGAAGUAAACAGGCUUGUGGAUGAACUGGUUCUUCUGAGACAUAAAUAAUUUUAAUUAUCUAAAUGCAGCAUGGAAAAUGAGAUGUCAAAUUAUUACUUAACAUUGUAUCAUUUGUGUUGUUUUCUGCUGUUUAUCAUUGUGUAAUAUAUGUUUUGAUUGCCAUAGCAUGUAAAUGUUUUUUGCAAAUAAACUCAUUCAUUCAUUCAUUCAUAUUCAGUUUAAAUUUACAAUGUAGGAGUCAUAUGUGUGUGUAUAGAUUAAAGUUUAUGUCUAUUUUUUAAUUGUAAAAAUCAUUUGUCUAAUUACUAUUUUACCAUGAAUAAUACAGAAAAUAUGUUUUACCUGUUAUUAACUAAGUAAUAUGUAUUGUUCAAUGUCUACAAUCGUUGAAAUAGUUGAAAUUGACAGUGGUAUCUCAUUUAUAUUGACCAUAUAUUAUACAAUCAGUGAUAUAUCAUACAAGUACACACCAAUGUUUUAUGAAAUAACUAGUUAUUUACAUAUGUUAUAUUGCUAUUCAAAUUUGUUUUAUUUAUAAUAUUACUAUUAAUAAACAUCAGAAGCUUAGAUCCUAUUACUGUUAUUCCUAAUAGGAAUCCAUCAACUACAAUAACAUCAGAAAAUUUGUUGGAAAUGUUUUAAUCAAUUUUUUUCCAUCAAACCUGAUUAAUUAUAUUUAAUUAAUUAUAUUUCUUUGUAAAAUAUUUAAUUUUAAGUUUAGGACUGUUAGUUCAUCUGUUGGGCAUGUAUAAACUUUUUUUUUUUUUAUAAUUAUGAAUAAAUAUUUUUAAAAUUUA